AGAGUUCGAAACACACCAACAGCAGCAGCAACGAUGGGCAAAGUCAAGAGGCAAGCAAAUCAUGCCAUCAAGAAGAUCCUCAUGAAGGAAAAGUCGCUCGCCAUGAAGAAGAAACGCGAGGCGGAGAGCUACCACGAAACCCCCGAGUCCAACACCACCAAGCAGGCGACCAAGGACUACGCGGCUGUGCUCUUCCGCAAGGCGCUGGUGACUCAGGCGGCCCCGACGCGCACGGCACACUUUCUCUCCUACAACACCGCCCUCGGCCCGCCGUACCGCAUCUGGCUCGACACAAACUUUAUCAACUUUUCCAUGCAGAACAAGAUCGACAUUGUGCAGGGCUUGAUGGACUGCCUUCUAGCCAAGGUCAUCCCGUGCAUCUGUGACUGCGUCUUUGCAGAGCUGGAGAAGCUAGGCAAGAAGUUCCGCAUCGCGCUGAAGCUGGCGCGAGACAAGCGGUUUGAGCGUCUGACGUGUGACAGCAAGUACGCUGAUGACUGCGUGGUGCGCACCGUGACGCAGCACCCCAUCUACAUUGUAGCAACGUGCGAUCAGGAACUCAAGCGGCGUCUGCGAAAGGUGCCUGGUGUUCCUAUCAUGUACAUUGCGAAGCACCGCUACACCAUUGAGCGUCUCCCGGAGGCGUACGGUGCCCCCGAGUAGAAAGGCCGAGAAGAGGCGUGAGUUAGGGUGAGGAAACGAAGGAAAAGAAUACGCGUACAAGCGGAAAGAGGCGCUGCACGCACCUCUCAACGCUUGCCCUGCCUGUAUCCCUGUGCAACAUCGCCCCACGUACCUGUGUCCAUGUGUGUGUGUGUGUGUGUGUGUGUGUUAUCGGCUAUUCGCUUCUCUUCGUCUUGGCCGUGGCUUUUUGCUCUUCUUGAUCGUCAACGUUUAAGCGUAAGCUGCACCAGCAGCACCAAAAUGUCAUCGUCAUCCUGCACGCACAACGGCGUGCGCUCUGCUUCUCCAUUCGACGGAUUCCACGCGGCAUAUGCGUCUGGUAGUGCUGGUGGUGGUGGUGGGAAGAGGAGGGGAGGUGCCCGUGGGGCUUUCAUAAAAGGCUCGCGCAAACACGAAGGACAGAAGAAAACGACCUGCGGACUCGAGUGCGCGCCUCUGGCUGCUCAUCUGGGACAGUUGAGAAGCCCGUAAGUCUCGCGCGGGGAGACAGGCACGGAGCACAGCAGAAUAGCGCGCCUUGUCGUCGCCGACGGCCAUGAUCUCGAGCACGCAGGCGGCGCGGCUCAUUGUUUCGCACGCGCAGUAACAUCAAGGAAGCGCCACUAUUUCUCUGACGCUCCCUCUUCGUUCUUCUUCUUAUGCGCCUCGCGUGCCUUUGUCGGAUCUAGGAGGACCAUGCAGAGGCCUUUCGAUGGGAAAAGGAGGAGAACGAGGAGGGCGAGUCUUGAGGCGAGGAGGUGCGUUCCUAGCGCUGCAUGCCUCCCUGUCAUUGCUGCGGCCGGUUCUCAUGACGACUGCGCUUCACAGACCUCUUCGCUCGAUAUACAUACGAUUAUAUUUCUCUCCUCUUCCUGGCGCAAACACUGCCCCCACCACAUACCCCUCCCCCCGCCCACCGCCGCAG
rnacentral:misc_RNA from 1 species